GGGCUUUUGGCACAGUUGGUAGCGCACCUGCUUUGCAUUCUAGUUGUGCAAAUUGCAUGAGGUCGAGGGUUCGAAUCCCCCAGAGUCCA
rfam:Hebeloma cylindrosporum h7 unplaced genomic scaffold scaffold_34, whole genome shotgun sequence.